rnacentral:piRNA from 1 species
UGACUUUUCAACUGCUUUGAGUGUAUGGG